rnacentral:snoRNA from 1 species
AAGCCAUGAUAAGGGCAUUUACGUUGCAUAAGUUUGAAACGCUCCCACACUUCAUAGAGUGUUUCCCAUUCUAUCUAUUGAAAGUUGGUGAUGCCCAUCCUUAGCUU